rnacentral:rRNA from 1 species
GACGAACGCUGGCGGCGUGCUUAACACAUGCAAGUCGAGCGAGGAAAUUACUUCGGUAAUUUCCUAGCGGCGGACGGGUGAGUAACACGUGGGCAACCUGCCUGAUAGAGGGGGAUAGCCUCCCGAAAGGGAGAUUAAUACCGCAUAAAGUCAAAUGAAGGAAUCUUCAAAUGACCAAAGGAGUAAUCCGCUAUCAGAUGGGCCCGCGGGUCAUUAGCUAGUUGGUGAGGUAACGGCUAACCAAGGCGACGAUGCGUAGCCGAACUGAGAGGGUGAUCGGCCACAUUGGGACUGAGACACGGCCCAGACUCCUACGGGAGGCAGCAGUGGGGAAUAUUGCACAAUGGGGGAAACCCUGAUGCAGCAACGCCGCGUGAGUGAUGAAGGCCUUCGGGUUGUAAAGCUCUGUCUUCAGGGACGAUAAUGACGGUACCUGAGGAGGAAGCCACGGCUAACUACGUGCCAGCAGCCGCCGUAA